CCUACGGGCGGCUGCAGUGGGGAAUAUUGGACAAUGGGCGCAAGCCUGAUCCAGCAAUGCCGCGUGUGUGAAGAAGGCCUGCGGGUUGUAAAGCACUUUGAGUGGGGAAGAAGGCCUGGGGGUUAAUAGCUUCUGGGAUUGACGUUACCCACAGAACAAGCACCGGCUAACUCAGUGCCAGCAGCCGCGGUAAUACGGAGGGUGCGAACGUUACUCGGAGCUACUGGGCGUAAAGCGCGCGUUCUCAUGUGAAAGCCCUGGGCGUAACCUGGGAACUGCAUUGGAUACUGUGUGACUGGAGUGUGGUAGAGGGGUGUGGAAUUUCCGGUGUAGCAGUGAAAUGCGUAGAGAUCGGAAGGAACACCAGUGGCGAAGGCGGCACCCUGGACCGACACUGACGCUGAGGUGCGAAAGCGUGGGGAGCAAACAGGAUUAGAUACCCCAGUAGUC
rnacentral:rRNA from 1 species